rnacentral:lncRNA from 1 species
GCUUCCCUCGCGCCUGUGCCCAUAGUCUUCUUCCAGAUCGAUCUCACAUUCGAGCUUAUCCUCCCUCCCGUUUGCGGAUCAAGCCAGCCUUCAUCUCCUCCGCGGAUCCGAUCUUUAUCCCAACCGUGAACACCAUCCCCUGUUUUCCAGCCAUGCCGAGCAUCACGGAAGAAGCUCACGCGUGAAUGAUCCACAUCGUCCGCAGUCCAAGGAUUUCCUCCCAGUCGGAUGAGCAUCCAAACUUCUUCCCCUCUGCGUGAAACAGCAUGAUCCUAUCACCUCCUAGAUUUCCCCAGCCGCAUCUCAACCGGAUGAGCUUCAUCCUUGCGAGCUUCACGGCAACCACACGUCCUCUGUUUCGGAAUAACCACCAGCCGAAUCCCAUGAUCUUUGCUCAUCUUCAUUUCCCAUGCUUCCGAUUCUUCCACGGAUCAACCCCAUCCGGAUUUACAUCCCAGUUCAUCUUCCCAUCGUAUCUUCCUCCCAGCAUCCUUAUCUUCUCCACAUCCCAACAUCCUUCCGGAUUCAUCCCAACAAACCAAUCCUUCACGGAUUCUUCCCGAAUGUCCCACGAUGAAUCCAACGUAUCCCCGGAUCCCAGCAUUCGGAUUGAUCCCAG